rnacentral:rRNA from 1 species
GACGAACGCUGGCGGCGUGCUUAACACAUGCAAGUCGUACGGUAAGGCCCUUUCGUGGUUACACGAGUGGCGAACGGGUGCGUAAGACUUACGUAACCUGCCCACAACUUUGGGAUAACGCUAGGAAACUGAUGCUAAUACUGGUUCUGCGUUCCUGCUUCAUGCUGGGGGUUGGAAAUCUCGGGCGGUUGUGGAUUGACUCGCGGCCUAUCAGCCUGUUUGUUGGCUAGUGGCAUACCAAGGCGGCGACGGGUAGCCGGCCUCGGAGGGUGGACGGGCACAUUGGGACUGAGAGACGGCCCAGUAUGCUACGGGAGGCAGCGGUGGGGAGUAUUGCACAAUGGGGGCAAGCCAGAUGAAGCAGUGCCGCGAGCGGGAUGACGGGCUUGGGGUUAUGAACCGUUGUGAGCAGGGACGAAGCUUUUAGUGACGGUACCUGCAGAAGAAGCACCGGCUAACUACGUG